CGAACAAAACAGUUUCUCGUCAAUCUAAGAUCCGACGAGGGCUUCGCUGGAGUUAUCGCUACUGGUAAAGAACUUGCAGAAGAAAUAGAAGUUGAGCCAAAUUUUCCAUCUGAACCAACAGUCCGAGUUCGUCGAACUCGUCGUCAAUUCAAUUAUGAAUCAAGAGAUGAACCGAUUUUGGAUCCAAUGGCUAAGUUUCGGACGGAAAUAUUUUUUUACGUGAUUGACACUGCCAUUAAUUCAGUCGUUGAAAGAAACUUGACGAUUACCAAUUGAAAACAUGUUGUACUGCCUUAAAUAACGCAUUGUCCGUCGGAGAAAAAUGCGACAUUUCUCCAGAUGAUCUUUUUAUCGAAUUGCGAUCUCUCUCCCAUCGAUUUCCUUUACCAAGCGAAGACGGAAAAAUAAUUGAUUCUAGUCCUCUUGCUGCCUUGACCUUUAUCGUUCAAAAUGGAUUGUCGUCAGUUUAUCCUAAUACUGUGAUUGCAUUACGAAUUUUGCUGACCCUUCCAGUUUCUGUUGCGCAAGGAGAAAAGUUUUUGCAAAUUGAAACUAAUAAAAACAUAUCUUCGCUCGUUAAUGGGACAAGAAAAACUAGAUGGGUUAGCAAUGAUUUCAAUCGAAAGAGAAAUUGUCGAAAAUAUUGAUCUCAAUGAAGCGAUUGAGGAAUUUGCCCAAAAAAAAUCGCGUUAAGUGCCGAUCUAAGUCUCACUAUUCGAUUUGCAAUUCAAUUUGCAAGAUAUUCUCGUGUCUCGUCAUUUAUCAGCAAUCUUGUAUCGUGUAUGAUUUUAAGUGAUACUGUUAUUUAUCCAGAAAUAUAACUAAUCCAGAUGUUAA